AUUGAACGCUGGCGGCAUGCUUUACACAUGCAAGUCGAACGGUAACAGGCCUUCGGGUGCUGACGAGUGGCGAACGGGUGAGUAAUGCAUCGGAACGUACCCAGAGGUGGGGGAUAACGCAGCGAAAGCUGUGCUAAUACCGCAUGUGAUCUGAGGAUGAAAGCGGGGGACCGAGCAGCAAUGUUUGGCCUCGCGCCUUUGGAGCGGCCGAUGUCGGAUUAGCUAGUUGGUGGGGUAAAGGCCUACCAAGGCGACGAUCCGUAGCUGGUCUGAGAGGACGACCAGCCACACUGGGCCUGAGACACGGCCCAGACUCCUACGGGAGGCAGCAGUGGGGAAUUUUGGACAAUGGGCGCAAGCCUGAUCCAGCAAUGCCGCGUGAGGGAAGAAGGCCUUCGGGUUGUAAACCGCUUUUGGCAGGAACGAAACGGUGUCCGCUAAUACCGGGCGCUAAUGACGGUACCUGCAGAAUAAGCACCGGCUAACUACGUG
rnacentral:rRNA from 1 species